rnacentral:misc_RNA from 1 species
GAUGAAGAACGCAGCGAAAUGCGAUAAGUAAUGUGAAUUGCAGAAUUCAGUGAAUCAUCGAAUCUUUGAACGCACAUUGCGCCCGCCAGUAUUCUGGCGGGCAUGCCUGUUCGAGCGUCAUUUCAACCCUCAAGACCCCUUCGGGGGACUUGGUGUUGGGGACCGGCACAGGGGCCUGCCUGCUUGUCUUGCAGCGCCCUCGCCGCCCCCGAAAUGAAUUGGCGGCCUCGUCGCGGCCUCCCCUGCGUAGUAGCACAAACCUCGCGACGGGAACGUGACGGCGGCCACUGCCGUAAAACAACCCAAUUUUAUUAGAGUUGACCUCGAAUCAGGUAGGAAUACCCGCUGAACUUAAGCAUAUCAAUAAGCGGAGGA